CUGCCCUGGGCCAGGAACUCUGCCUGACCUCCCAGAUGAGUGUCAUUAUGAUGCUUAAAUGAGGUAAUCUAUUGAGGACCUAACCCAGACACCUGGGACACAGGAGGCACCUGUCAGUGGUGGGUGCCAUCAUUCUCCAUUCUCCUGAAGAUGCCAGGCUGUCUUAUCUCCAUCGUGCUAAGGAGGACAAGGCAGGCUGGAGUGCGAUGGCGCCAUCUUGACUCACUGCAACCUCCGGCUCACUGCAACCUCUGCCUCCCUGGCUCAAGCGAUUCUCCUGCCUCAGCCUCCCAAGUAGCUGGGAUUACAGGUGCCCGCUACCACACCCAGCUAAUUUUUUUGUAUUUUUAGUAGAGAUGAGGUUUCACUAUGUUGACCAGGCUGGUCUUGAACUCCUGACCUCAAGUGAUCCACACUCCUCAGCCUCCCAAAGUGCUGGGAUUAUAAGCAUGAACCACUGCACCUGGCCUCCUGGAGUCCUUCCUAAGGACCUUCAUAAAGGUUAGGAACCAAGCAGCCAGUGAGGGAUUGCGUUUUAGGUAACCAUGGAUCUGUAGGGUGUGGUUUCUGUCACUUUUCCAAAGUAUAUUGGUGUCCCAUCAUCUAAAGCCCAACCCCACUCACGCCCCUCCACUGCUUAAACUCCUACCAGAGACCCCUGCUACCUCCAGUUCUGUUCGCAGCUUGGCUCACAAGGCCUUUGCCAGCUGGCCCAGCUCUGCUGUAUUUGCUAAUUCACACAAGUCCCUUGGUAUAGCCUCAGCUAUUGCAGAUUUCAGCAGUCCAAUCUCCAAGCCUUUGUUCACACAAAUGCUUCCACCUGGAGUCUCUUUCCUCACGAUGGCCAGCAAAUCCCUGCCCCCAUUUCAAGGACUGGUUUAAUGCAUCACCUUUGGGUCCUGUGGGUCCCCAUCCCCUGUCCCCACAGUCAAAUUAAUCAAGGCCUCACCUUCCCACUCUCCCCCUUAAACUGGGACUGAUACAAACACUUCACAGAGUCCUUGUGCAGAUUAAAUACAAUAAUCCAGGUGAGGGGUUGAGCACUGUGCCCACCUGGCAUAAGGUAAGCACUGCAGAAAUGUUAGCUAUUAUUAUCCUAGUGUUAAACCCCAUAAAAUCCCAGCUCCUCAAGCCUGGCGUGUGAGAUCUUGCAUGACCGGCCCCAGCCUGCUUCUCAUCUGUUUCCUGCCGCCCGCACCUCUCCUACCCUCGCCUAACCUCAGGACCUGUUCCUGAGCCUCUGCCCACACUGUCCCCUUGCCUGGAACAGCUUCCUACACACCAGUGUGACUGCCUCCCACUUAUCUCCAACCCAGCGUCCCCUGAGGGCCCAGCUUUCAGUGUACCUGUUCAUUUACUUGCUUCUCCCUGACUAAUGGGAACAUGCCUUAUUAUCUCAGCAUCUCCAGUGCCCAGCACAGAACCCCAAUAAGUGCUUACUGAAGGAAUUGAAUAAUAACCAUUUGUUUAAGGACAGUGUCUUCACUUGAGCAAUACUUCAUAAAACUCCAGUGCACAGCAAAGUCUCUGCCAGAAGGUGGGAAAUGCACACUCCUAGGCCCACAGCCAGAGAUUCUGAUCCUGCUGUACUGGUGGGCCCAGGAACCCACGCUGUUAUAGCUCUUCAGGCAAUUCUGGAAUAACUGGUGUUCACUGUGAGAAGCUCUAACCCCAAUGGAAGAGAGAAGGGAACUCAUAGACAGAGCCGUAUGUGGGAACUGGAUGAAGAACUCAUUAUCCCCUGAGGUCAGGACGACUGUCUGAUAGAUGGUGCUGGAAAACUCCCUCACUCCAUGGAGAAAAAUGGAGACGUGAAUAGAGAAAGACCAGGUUCUUAACAGCCAUAUGAAGAUGGACUCCAGAUGAAUCAAAGCAUACCAUAAAAGGGAAAACUAGAACUCAAUUAAGGUAUAGGAGAAUAUCUUUAUGACUUCAGGAUAUGGAAGGAUUUCUUAAACAAAGCCCCCAAAACACACAAAAAUAAGGCAAAAUGGUGAAUUUCAGUAAAUCAAAAUUAAGGAUUUCUGUUCCAAGAAAUGUAGAUAAGCUUAAAGGAUAGAGGACAAAAUGGGAGCAUUGCAAUUUCUAAACCCGGCCAAGAAUCUAGAAUAUAUAACGGACUCCUAAAGAGCCCCAGGAAAAAGCAGCAACCACCAUUGGAAAACUGAGCAAAAAUGGGAGCCAGCAGUUUACAGAUGAGGAAACCCACAGGCUAAUGUAUGAAGAGAUGCUUACAUUUAUUGGUAAACAUUUACUUAGAUAUUUAAUAUGUAAAUAAUUUAUCUUAUUGAUAAUAUAAAUUAUGAUUUAUAUUAAUUAUAUAUACAUUAUUUAAAUAAUCUAUAAAUAGAUAUAAAUAUCAAAUCAUUGAGGUAAUGAGAUAUUACUUUAUGAGACUGGGAAGCUUCAGAAAGUGGGUGUUAUUCUGGACAAGGCCUCUUCCAGUGGUACCCAAGCCCCACUGGGAGAAGUACUUAGAGCCAGCCUUGAACCCCAUCCCCGUUCCCCAGCUGCUGGGGCUGGCAGAGACAUCUUGGACACCCAGGCUGGCACGGUGGCAGAAACUUGUGUCUGCACCAGUCCUGGUGACACCAUUCUCUGCAGCAGCUGCUGCUUAUCCCAGGCCAGCUCCCCAGGCUGGGUCUGCAAAGAGCAGUGCCUCUGGCCCACAACACCCACCUAGACGAUUGGAGCCCAGAGAAGCCUCCUUCCCUCAGCCUCUCUCCUGGCUCCUCCAGCCUGUUCUGAGCCCUGCCCCUUAAGUCAGCUCCCCGGAAGUCAGCUGACCCAGUCACCACUGUUCUGCUCACAGACUUCUACUGGCUACCCAUGCCUGUGAGACAGUGUCCAAGCGCUUCAGCCUGGCACUCAAGACAUUUCCCACACUGGCCUCUUCCUCCAGGUAGCCCUGCUCCAGUCAUACUGCAUUCAUGAUUAUUCCCAGAGCAUGCCAGGGAACGUUCACUAUUCAGGUCUCUGCAAAGAUGCUUCUCUCUACCUGGAAUACCCUCUGCUCCCUCAAUUCCUAUUCACGCUCCAUUCCUAUUCAUGCUCCAACACCCUGUGUGUAAGGGAGUGUGUCUUUGGAAGCAAACCAUGCUUUGGAGCUAGAGUGAUUUGAUUCUGUUUCUAGCUCUGUCACCACUAGGUUUGAGGCCCCUGGGUAUUUCAAUUCACCUCUGAGCCUCAGUUUGCUAAACUAUUAAAUGGGGCUAAGGAUUUCCAUAACAUGGAGUUGGGAUGAUGAGCUUCAUAUAACAAAAUGCUUGGGACAUUGCCAGCAUAUAUUAAGUGCUCAUUAAAUGGUAGCUAUUCUUGGUCAGGUGUGGUGGCUCACACCUGUAAUCCCAGCACUUUGGGAGGCCGAGGCGGGUGGAUCACAAGAUCAGGAGUUCGAGACCAGCCUGGCCAAUAUGGUAAAACCCUGUCUCUACUAAAAAUACAAAAAUUAGCCGAGCGUGGUGGCAGGCGCCUGUAGUCCCAGCUACUCAGGAGGCUGAGGCAGGAGAAUGGCGUGAACCCAGGAGGCAGAGGUUACAGUGAGCCAAGAUUGUGCCACUGCACUCCAGCCUGGGUGACAGAGCGAGACUCCAUCAUAAAUGAAUGAAUGAAUGAAUGAAUGAAUGAAUGGUAGCUAUUUUUAUUCUGCUCCAUCUCGAGUACCCGAAUAAUCUCAUACAGAACAACUUGCUCCUCAUCUGGAUCCUACAGUGUCACCAUUCACACCUCACUCAUCUCAGCAUCCUCAGAGCUUGGCACAGUGCCUGGCACAUAGGUGGUGCCAACGCAUGAGAGCAUAAUGAACACUACCCGUGAUUCUCCCGCUCCUCCGUUAAGUUAGGAGGUCUGCCCCUUCUACUUCCCUUCCCUCCAUAAUCAAGUGAUUGGACCUGGAUGGCUUUGGUUUCUGUAAACUGGACCCUUGGGGGAUUGGAACCCGAGGGGAUCCUGGCAGCAGGAGGGUACACAGCUUCCCUGGCCUCCCUGGGGGUCUGGCCAGAACCAGCAAUGUGAGCCCCAAGCACAGGCAGGGUCCCUCUUGAGGUGAAGGAUUUACAACUGGAUUAUGAAUCUUAAGGUGUUGCUUAGAAAGUGC
rnacentral:lncRNA from 1 species